GGUGGUCAAUUAGGUAAGGCCACCACAUCGUGCCGUUGGCCUGUUUAAUGUUUAUAUCUGCUUCAUUCACCUACCCAUUUCCAUUAUCGAGGGAAAAACUUUGUCCCUGGAUAUCUUCGUCUUCUCCUUUGGCUUCUCUCUUCCUUCCGAUCCAGAUUCCUGUCAUCAGCGGAGCCGCAGCCGUCAUACUUUGGAGAAAAGAGGAAGAUCAGAAGAGGGUUAUUGGACAUGGCUACUGACUCCCUUUCAAGAAUUGGCCUUGCAGGCCUUGCUGUUAUGGGACAGAACCUUGCCCUCAACAUUGCCGAGAAAGGAUUUCCCAUCUCUGUAUACAACAGAACUACCUCCAAGGUUGACGAGACUGUUGAGAGGGCCAAACAGGAAGGAAACCUUCCUCUAAGAGGCUUCCAUGACCCCAAAUCCUUUGUCCUCUCCAUCCAGAAACCCAGAGUCAUUAUCAUGCUUGUUAAGGCUGGCGCUCCGGUCGAUCAGACCAUCCAAACCCUCUCUGUUCACAUGGAGAAAGGCGAUUGCAUUAUUGAUGGUGGCAAUGAGUGGUAUGAGAACACUGAGAGAAGGGAGAAAGCCAUGAACGACUUGGGUCUCCUGUAUCUUGGUAUGGGUGUCUCAGGUGGAGAAGAGGGCGCACGCCACGGCCCAUCUCUCAUGCCUGGAGGUUCCUUUGAGGCCUACAAGAACAUUGAAGAUAUCCUCCUAAAGGUUGCUGCUCAGGUCCCUGACAGUGGACCGUGUGUCACCUAUAUUGGCAAAGGUGGAUCAGGAAACUUCGUUAAGAUGGUACACAAUGGCAUUGAGUAUGGUGACAUGCAGCUGAUUGCUGAAGCAUAUGAUGUUCUAAAAACCGUUGGCAAGCUCUCUAACGAAGAAUUGCACGAGGUCUUUGCCGAGUGGAACAAGGGGGAGCUUCUUAGUUUCUUGAUUGAGAUAACUGCUGAUAUUUUCAGCAUCAAGGAUGAUAAGGGGGAAGGUUAUUUGGUAGAUAAGGUGUUAGAUAAGACUGGAAUGAAGGGCACUGGAAAAUGGACAGUACAGCAGGCUGCUGAAUUGUCUGUUGCAGCACCCACCAUUGCUUCUUCUUUAGAUUCUAGGUUUCUUAGUGGGUUGAAGGAUGAAAGAGUAAAUGCAGCAAAGGUUUUCAAGGAUGGUGGCCUUGGUGAUGGUCUAUGUGAUCAGGUUGUGGACAAGAAACAACUGAUUGACGAUGUGAGACAGGCUCUUUAUGCUUCAAAGAUUUGCAGUUAUGCCCAAGGAAUGAAUCUGAUUCGUGCAAAGAGCAUUGAGAAGGGUUGGGAUCUCAAAUUAGGUGAGCUUGCUAGAAUUUGGAAGGGUGGUUGCAUUAUUCGUGCAGUAUUUUUGGACCGCAUCAAGAAGGCCUAUGACAGGAACCCAGAACUUGCUAGUCUUCUUAUUGAUCCUGAGUUUGCAAAGGAAAUUGUAGACCGACAAUCUGCUUGGCGACGUGUUGUCUCUCUUGCAAUCAACUCGGGUAUUACCACCCCGGGCAUGUGUGCAAGUUUGGCUUAUUUUGAUUCUUACAGGAGGGAAAGGCUAUCUGCAAACCUUGUUCAGGCCCAGCGUGACUAUUUUGGUGCUCAUACAUACGAGAGGAUCGAUGUUGAAGGUUCAUUCCAUACAGAGUGGUUCAAAUUGGCGAAACUUAAGAUCUGAUGAUUUAAUUGUGUUGCAUAUGUAACCUUUCGACUUGAGCAUUUCAAUAACAGCGGAUGAGGAUAUCAAUCAUUUCAUUUGGAUUGAGAAUUGGAAAUUUCAUUCAGCUGUCUAGAGCAUCAUGCUAUGUCGUACUUUACAAGGCAUUCUGCAGUUCAUUUUCCAAAGUUUCUGAUCCUAUUUGGGUAGUACUUGCCAAUAUCAAGCAAUUGCAUUUGUUUAAACUGGGAAGGAUAUGCAGAGCUCUAUGGCCUCCAUUGGAGAAGCAGUUUUUUAACUAUUGCAAGCAAAGGCUUUUCUGGCUACCGACAUUUCUUAAAGAUAAGAAAGAGGCGUUUCCUAGGAGACUUUGACAGGAGCAUACCAUAAGCAUAAUAUUGACACAUAGCUCUUGGUCGAUUAAGAUUCCUAUGAGCCACCUGCCAUUGCCACAAAAUCCACUCUCGAUAUGCUUGGAAGAGCCUGACAAAUGCCGUGCACAAUGAACAGGCUUUUAUCGUGGUCUGGAACAAGUAUGAGUGGAACAGGAAUGAGAAAAUUCAUAUAUCCAGGUUAGGAUUGGGCUGACUUGAGUGGCCAUAUUGAGUUGUCAGGUUGAACUUUGAACAGGACUAGGCAUAACCAGGUUGGAUGCAAUUAGAUAUCAUAUACACGAAUCUGU